GCUUCAGCAGGAAACAUAUACUCAAAUUUUAACAAAAUGCAGAGAAGAUUAGCAUGACCCCUGCAUAAAGAUGAUGCACAGAUUUGUGAAGUGGUCCAUAUUUUG
ensembl:snRNA U6 U6 spliceosomal RNA